UACAGAGGGUGCGAGCGUUAAUCGGAAUUACUGGGCGUAAAGCGCACGUAGGCGGCUUAGCAAGUCGGAAGUGAAAUCCCACGGCUCAACCAUGGAAGUGCUUUCGAAACUGCUGAGCUUGAGUACAAAAGAGGAUCGCGGAAUUCCCGGUGUAGAGGUGAAAUUCGUAGAUAUCGGGAGGAACACCAGUGGCGAAGGCGGCGAUCUGGGU
rnacentral:rRNA from 1 species